GCAAUUCGACAUGGUCUGAUUUUAUUGAUUAUCUUGUUUUUAUUUUGUGGUAGUUUUUAUUUUUAAUUAAAAUAUUAUUUUGUUGUUGUAUUGUUUAUGAUUUAAUUUUUUUACUAUAGGUUAUUUGUACUGUGAGGGGUUGUAGGGGUUUAAUAUUUUUUUAAAAGUUGAUUUUGUUUUUCGUACCUUGUGUAUCAGGGUUCAUUGAAUUUUAUUAUUUAUUUUUAUUUCCCGAUUUUAAAGGAGUUAAUGGUUUAUGUUAGUUACUGUUUCAUCAGUAUUAAUAAUAGGCGUAUUGGUAGUGAAAUGUUAUUCGUCUUUAGUGGUUUCUGGUUUUUCAAGAAAUGAAUUUAAUUCAUACAUUUUAUAUAAUUUCUGUUGUUGUUCUAUUUAUUUUUAUUUUAUGUUAAGAUCGAGGGGGAUUAGCUCCAUGUUUUAUUUUUAUAAUUAGUUGUAAUUUAAUUUAGUUUUGUGGAUUUUAUAGUGAUUUUCUAUUUGAUUAUGUUAGAAUUUUAUUUUUUCUUUUUUUAAUUUUUUUAUUAUUUAAGUUGUUUAUUGAAAUAUUUUCUUUAUUUUUGGUUUGUAAAGUAGUUAUUGUGUAAUUAGUAAAUUUAUUUGUUAUCUUGUGUGAUUAUGGAGUGUAUUAAUUGCUUUUGAGGAAUUAGGCAAAAUUUGUGUCCGCCUGUUUAACAAAAACAUCUUUUCUUGUUAGUUUUUGAAGUAUGGCCUGCCCACUGACGUUAUGUUGAAGGGCCGCGGUAUUUUGACCGUGCAAAGGUAGCAUAAUCAUUAGUUCUUUAAUUGUGAUCUGGUAUGAAUGGCUUGACGAGACAUAAACUGUCUUAGGAGUAUUGUUUAUUGAAUUUGGUCUUUGAGUUAAAAUUCUUAAAUGUUUUUAUGGGACGAGAAGACCCUAUAGAGUUUAACAUUUUUCUUAUUUAUGUAUUGUUUGUUUAUUUUAUUAAAUAGGAGGUAGAUUGUUUUGUUGGGGUGAUGGGAGGAAGUAUAUGUAACUCUUCUUUAUUUAUUUAUAUUUAUUUAUAUUUUUUUGAUCCAUUUAUUUUGAUUAUAAGAUUAAAUUACCUUAGGGAUAACAGCGUUAUCCUCCUUGAGAGUUCUUAUUGGCGGGGGGGUUUGCGACCUCGAUGUUGGAUUAAGGUGAAUUUUCGGUGUAGGAGCUGAAAUUUAAUUAGGUCUGUUCGACCUUUAAAAUCUUACAUGAUCUGAGUUCAGACCGGCGUGAGCCAGGUUGGUUUCUAUCUAUAAAGUUGUUUUAUAUCUUAGUACGAGAGGACCGGGUAUUUGUAAUAAUUUCAUGUUUAUAUUGGUUUUUGUUAAUGUGAUACUAUUUUGGCAGAUAAGUGCAUUGGAUUUAGAAUCUAUUAA
rnacentral:rRNA from 1 species